rnacentral:lncRNA from 1 species
UAUGCAUAUUUUGUACUUCUAUGUGGCAAUUAACCAUCUUCCUAUUUCUGUGAGGAUUUUGGAUCCUAACGAAUGGAAGAAAAGCAUAGUUACAAGACCCUUCCGAUAUAAAGAAUCCUUUUUAUUGGUCGAUUGUGAUAACUGAUAAGUUAAUGAGACGGUGUCCCCAUCUUCAUCUUCAUCUAUAACUCUAUUAAAAUUAUUGAUGUAAGUAGAGAUUUCAAUAUCUCUUCAUGGCAUUUUGAUGAAGAAAUGGACAGCAUAUGAAUGCCAAUGAUUCUUUGCGACGGAACGUAGCAGUAGCAUUCCGUGAUUUAUUCUCAAUGCUUUGAAGCCUACUUAUUAUUUAUAUAUAAUUAAGGUUCGAGCAUGGUCAAUGUCUAGCUUAUUAAAUUUUUGUUUUAAUUUCUCAAAGCUGGAAUACAACGUUAUUAAUUCAAAACAAAUAUAUAAUUAAGAAGAAGUAGUAUUCCCUCUAUUAUUAUCCAAGGCAAAAAAGUAUCAAGGCGAAAACAUCACAAGGCAAAAAAGUACAAGGUAAAAACGCAUAAUGGCAAGAAAACUUCAAAGCCUAAGCGCCAAAAGGUGAGAACGUAUCCAGGCGAAAGCACCACAAGGCGAAAGUGGCAUAAGGCGAAUAGGUACAAGAAAAUGGAGGCCCAGGAAUUUGGGAAUUACUUACCGGAUGAGGAACAGAUGGUUUGUCGGAUAUGUCGAAAUAGAUGUGCCUUUAGUCUCCUAUCUAGAAUUACACGCCACUCAUUAUUCUCAUCUCAUAUCAUGAGCAUGGAUAUUCAUCUAAAAAAUCAAGUUAAUGAUGAAUACAUCAAGUCA